rnacentral:rRNA from 1 species
GGUUGAUCCUGCCAGUAGCAUAUGCUUGACUUGGAGAUUAAGCCAUGCAUGUCUAAGUAUAGUUAUAUACAGCGAAACUGCGAAUGGCUCAUUAAACCAGUUAUAAUCUACUUGAUGUUUUUCUUACAUGGAUAACCGUGGGAAACUAGGGCUAAUACAUGCAGAACCUUCGGGUGUAUUUAUUAGUUUCAAAUCAAUGUCAUUUGAGGAAUCAUAAUAACUGAUCGAAGCGAAUCUUUCGCUAAAUCAUUCGAGUUUCUGCCCUAUCAGCUCUCGAUGGUAGUGUAUUGGA